rnacentral:lncRNA from 1 species
GAUAUGGGAUAGCUCUGGGGAAUGUGUGUUAAGAUUGCUUCUGAUGGUUUCUUUCUAGAGAAAUUCCUAAAGUUCAAGAGCUCUAGCUGAAAACAAAACUUUAAACUUUAACACUAUCACAAGUAGAUGUAUCACAAUUAGAAAUAAAAAAGUGAGCUCCUGAUCACUUUGUUUGUAUAAAUAUAGCAAUGAAACUGGAGCUUUAAAAAGUUGGGCAAAAUGAAUUGGGUGUAUUCACCUUUCAUGUCUUGUGCCUCAAAUAAAAUAAAGCAUAGCAAAGUAAAAUAAGAAGUUAUAGCUGAUAGUUAAUUUCAUAACUCUCUUUUUAUUAACAUAAUCUAAGAAACUGGAAUGAUUCAUAGGGGUUUACUUUACUUUGAUACCAGAGAGUGCAGAGAUUAUAAAUUGAUAAAGUGUCAUAAAUGUCAUAAUAUGUCAUGAUCUAUUAAAUUCAUGUUAUCAUCAUGUGAGAAAACCUCCCAUGAUAGUGAAGUUUAUAGGAUGUUACAUGUUGCAAAAAUUAAAUUUCCUUCUGUCCUCCAAUUAUAAUUGAAUUUCCACAAUUCUAACAAUUUUGUUCCCAUGACAACUUAAUAGUCUACCACAAUAUCCUGUGUCCUAAGGGAGAAAAUCGUAAGUAAAAUAAACAGAAAUUGUCAAGGAAGUGGACAAGAGUCAUCUCAUAUUCUAUGAAUUUUAAAGUAACCAUACAACACUUGGGGAUCAGUAUAUAGGGAAGGAUUGAACGUGAUCAGGCCAGGCGCCCUGAGAAGGAUGCAGGUAUUUUUCUUGUUUUAAUUGUUGUUACAACAACUGCAUGUUUGGUACUAGUUUGUGAAGUUUAUUUUUUUUUUCUUCAAUUGCAGGAGUUUUAGGGAGGGAGGGAGGAUGAAAAUCUAAUAAGCAACUUCUUUGGAUUAUGUUUGUAAUGAUUAGGUAAUGAUUUGAAGUGAAUCAUACCUCCUUUUUUGUCAGUAUCAAUUGUCUCUCAGCUGUCUCCGUCUUUUCAGUGCUUAUUUUCUCUUUCUGGCUCCCAUCUAAAUAAUGACAAAUUUCCAAUCAUCUCAUCAUAUAUGAGUGUGAAGUGUGUGAGCCAAUAGUAGUAACCCCUUUCAAGGACAUUUGUUCUAUUAUGAGAAGGAACAAGUGGAGGAAACUACAGUCUAGGCGAGAAGUUUUAGUUUGGAGUGAUGAAACAACAGUACAAUGUGCCCACGCUUUUUAUCUUGUUCACAUACAUCACAAAAUGUGGUGUUUGUGAUAAAACGGGACACUUUGACCCCUGUUGACCUAACAGCCUCAAGGUGUCAACAUUGGUUGUUUCAGAUAUAUCUGUGUCAGAAACAGUUAUAUCUCAUCAAAACAUAUUACAUGUUUUCUGGAUUCAGAAAACUCAAUACCUCAUAUGCACCUGUUUUUUUCUUCAAAAAUGCAAAAUUUAUCUGGGACGUUUGAUAAUUAAUUUUCUGUCAAGUAGCCUUCAACAAAACAUAUUAGGUGCUUAUUAAAAGCUUCUCUUUAUAUACCUGUCAUACUAUGCUUUAUAGGUGAUUAUCUCUGUGGAAAAUAUAAUAGUAAAAACUUGAAUUUUGAAACUUCUUAAAAGUUACCCUUCCUAUAGAAUAUGGUAUGAGUUGCACUCCAUGGCCCCACCCCCUCCAUCAGAACUCAAAUCAUCAAAGGAUAUCACUACAUUAACUUCUUGUCCCAAUUCCCAGACCUCUAAAGCCAAACUAUAUAGCAAGCCAACUACUUCCCUUUAAUCUCUAAACCGAUCUGACAGAUCAGCUGUAUAUUAGAACCGCUCCGAACAGACGAGCUGAGCAUUCGAGAGAGGCAGCAUCUGGCCGAACAAGUGCGUCUAGGGUUAAUUGCUUUAUUGUCCUGUGCCAUCACCAGUCAAACAUAUCCACUCACUUUCAGCAUCCCAGACUAGACACACAAGCUCUGAAUUCUAUCACAGUUGGAAUAUUGUUUCUUUGAGUUUAUUGGGAAAGCAGGAAAGAAUUUAUUUGGAUUAUUUCAGUCAAGAGCUUUGUAUACGAUAACAUUCCAGAGUAACGACAGGCUGAAUCGUGCUAUUGUCUGCCUCCUUUUCCUUCAUUGACAUCAACCCCAUCUCGUUACCAUGGCAAACUGCGGCUGGUUGUGGAGCAUCAUCUGGAUCAUCCUCCUGCUCGUGAUCGGAUGGCCCAUCGGUCUCCUCUGUGGCAUCCUCUAUGCCAUCUUCUGUGCGUUCCCACCCUGCUGUCCUGGUUGUAACGAUCUGGUGAACUUUAUACACCGGGGCUUGGACCUCCCCCGUACCUGUGCCACCAACAUGGUGGCCCAGCGAUCAGGGUGCUGAGAAGGGGUGUAGCUAAGGGCGUGGUUGGGUGUAGUUGGUUAGCGAUCCAGGCACGAUUGGAUAAUUAUAAGCAGAGGAUGAGCUGGAACUGGGGUUCUCUUGUCACCCCUCUUUGGAUUUUUCUCACCAAGGAGAGAGGCUGCCUAUAUUUUGGACACACAUUUAUCAUGUCAACAUUUUUUGAUCGAGGCUAUUUGUAAUCUUCCAACCUCUGAUAAAAGUUAAUAAAUAAAAACUUACAUACAUAUUCAUAUACCGUACAAGUACUUCAGGAUAUGUGCCAGACUUAAGUUGUGCAUCACACUACUAAUUGCAACUUUAUAUACUGUGGUUAGAAUGCCUGUCUAGGUAUCUUCCCUUCAACAUAAUUUUUCAUUUGUAUUUAUUUCGCUGUUUACAACAAAAGAUGAGUUGUGAUGCAGAAGGUUCUGAUUUUUGUUCCCAUGUACAAAAAAACAAUCAAACAUUAACACUGUUAUGAUAUAACCAGCUGAGGAUGGGGGUGUAUAUAUUGAAUGUGUUUGGUAGAAAUUAGUAUGAUAGUAGAUAGAUAAUUUAGCUGCCUAUAUUAUAUAUCUUGUAAGUAUAUACUGCAGGUAUAUUAGAUAUGUUUUUCAAUGAGGCUGUCAAUUGUACCAUUACUGAAAUGUCUAAAGUCAAAAGUCUUCAACUCAAUAUAUUUUAGUUUAUAUAAGUCAUUACCAUAUAAUCAUUUUAUAAGAUAAAGAUGAUUUUCCUUGCUACUUGCUAUGGUAUAGUAACUUAUUUGUUUUCUAACAGACUGUAUACCUUCUUCCAUCAAACUUAUAAAUCUUUUUUAUCAUGAAUGUUUCUGUGUAAUAUAUUUAUGCACUGUCUUGUUACAAACAUUACUCAAACAUCUUUUUUUAUAAAUAGUUGUCAGACUUAUACAUAAACAGUUUUAGUCAGUGUCCACAUUUAGGUAUGGUCUGAAAGUGCUGAAAGUACCUUGAUUCACAAAUUGAGAGCUAAAAUGUAGCCAUUUAAAAUGUGUGGUGUUAUAAGAUCAAAGUAAUUAUAGAUAGAAAACAAAUAUAAUGUUGGUGCUCUCUACAGAUUAAUUAAGGCUUCCACAUUGAAAAUGACUGCAACUCUGCAAGUAUUAAAUCAAUGGAGUAUUCUUUCUCAGUUGUUUUGGGGGCAACUAGAUCUGUCCUAAUUAUUCCCUUUGAAUUCUGAAAAUAGGUUUCAUUAUCAUUGCCACUUAUCCAUUGUGUCUUGUUCAUCUGAAGAACCUAGAAAGGUUAAGCUAUCACCUGUCUGGAUGAUGGAUGUAAAUAAGAGGAUGGGAUUGAGCUAUCAUCUUACAUGCAUGGGUGAUACAUGGGUUCAGGGGGAGUUAAUACAUCCAGACAGACAGCCAGCCAUGCCAUUCCAAUAAUUGCUUCUUCCUCCCUGCUCUUGAUCCUCAGGGAUGUUACAGGUCAUUUUCGCAAACAAAGUCUGUGAAUGAGUAUCAAGGGGUGGAGAGGAGUGAUGAAAGAAAAUGAGGUUAAUUCAAAUAGUUCUAUGAUUCUAUCAUCUCUCGUUUAAGUACAUUUUAGGGUCGUUUUUCUGUGUUUUGAGAGAAAACGAAGCCAAUUGCAGUAAACCAGUAUAAUUUUGCAAACAGAUGCAAAAGGCAUACCUAUGUUAAUUUAAGUGAAAUAUAGGGAGACUGUUCAGGCCUUAAACCAACUCUUGCCUGUCAGUUCCCUUGUAUUGCACUUUAAAUGGAACCAAACUUCACAUCUGGUAUUCUAAUCAGACACUUGUACAUUUCUCCUCUCAUAAUUUCUUUGUCGAACAAGCAAGCAAUCAUAAGCUUCAUUCAUUCCUCACCCGGUAUACUAAUGAAAACACACUGAUUUGCACAAUCAGACAACCAUUCAUAAAUCAAUCCUCAUGCUUGCAUCUUCCUCCAUCUCUUCCCGUGAGGUUCUUGAAGCAAACUUCCUGCAUGGCUGACCUAUACGGGGGUGUACACUAUACAUCCUAUUGACACUGCAUACAUUUAUUUCCUCCACCACAUAUAAGGCUGAACAUAGAAAAGAUAUGAGGCUGUCUGGGAGUGGUUGAUAUUGAUAUGUAGCAGAGGAUGUCCGCUACUCGUCAUGCACUUCAUUAUUACAAGUCAUUGAAUCUGCUUAGAUGUUUUUGUGCAUAUAAGGUGUCAAAUUAUAGUAUUUCAAUGAAUUUGAUUAUUCUUCCAGCUGUAAACAAUUACUACGCAAUUUUUUAACGCAUUUUUGUGCUUAAACAUACUAUAUGAAUGUCCAUACACUGUUAUGUUAAAUCAUGUAAAAGUAGUUUAACUUGAGUCAGUGUUUUCGAACAAUUUAUUGUAAACAUUAGAAGAUCAUUUUCACAUUGAAAUAUAUAUAUACAAAGUUAUUCUGCUACACUGGUAUAGAUGUUAAUGGAAUGAAAUUAUUUAAAAAAACUUAUGAUAUGAAAUUGAAAAUGUAUACUUGUAUUGGGUAAUUAUAAAGUAACUUGGAAUAUGAAUCAGGGAUCAUAUAUGUUUGUAACUAAAAUGUUCAAAAAUGUUCGAUGAAUAAAGAAAUUAGAUGAAGGGCCAAUUAAAUGCAUUGUGCCAUCAGUACUGCCUUAAGUUUUAAGACAACUCUUAAGACUUCCAACUUUUGAUUUGAUCAGAGCAUUUAUUAUUCUUGUAGAAACUAUAUCACAUUGAAAUUCUGAAGUGCACACUGUAUCAUAUUUUUUGUUAAGACAUUUACUUUAUUUAUCUACUUGCACUUGGAAUAUUGAUUGUUAAAAUAAAAAUAUUACUGACCACAAAGGUCAUAAUGAGAUCUAACUGUUGAAAAUGAUUUCAUUACAGCAAAAUAAACUUAAUCUGCGGGUUUACAAUAUUUUGUAUCUUUUCACUUCUGCUUGGUGCCUCACACUUUUCUUUCUCUACCUGAUCUUUCAUUCAAGAAACCCAUUUUGGGAGUUAGAAUUAUUGAAAUAUGUUAAUUCAUCUCUUUAUACAAUUGCUGUAGAUUUAAAUUUUGCACAGAAGUGAGUUACUCAAAAGGGAGACUGCCAGAUGUGUGUGUAGUCAGCCACAUUAAAUAUGGCAGUCACGACAUCCUGACAAGGAAACUUUUGAAGUGUGAAACAUAUUGUUUGGAUGAAAAUGAAAUGGUUGUGAAAAUAGAAUUGGGAAGAUAUUAGCGUUAUGAAGACUUUUGAGUUUAAGAAAUACAACAUUAGUUUCAAUUUAUGAAUGAACCUAAGCAUAGCUAUUAUGAUUGUAAUUGGCUAUUGUUAAUGUUGACUUCUAUACUUACAGGUAACUGAUAAUUUGAAGCCGAGUUCAUUUGUACAUCAUUGAGCAUUUUUAAAGAUACAGACGAGAGUGGCCAUAUUUAAUGAAAUGGUUUCAUUAUAAUUUAGUUCAAUUAAAUGAAGCCGAGGAAAUGAUAGACUAUCUAUAAUAUGGGAUUGCUCUACACUGGAUUUGGGUUUAGAUCAAGCAUUUGUCAACAAAAUGUGGUCAUUUCCACAUUGCGUGGAAUGUUUGUGGAGAUAAGACUAAUUUGAUUGGCUAUUUUGGCAACUGUAGUUUCAGAAUCAAAUUGUUUUCACUAGUUUGAAAGUACAAAAUUAAUGGUUUCCACUCAUAGUGUUGCAAUUUCUCUUGACAUACUUUGUUUUGUAAAACUAUGGGAACUUUGAGCUUCAUUUUCAAAGUGAGGAUAGAGAUAUUUGCUUCAUGCAUACAUGUAUAAAAGAAAAUGAAAUUCAGAAGUAUGGUAUUGUUAGUAAAUGUAAAAAAAUGACAAAAUCAUUUUAUCAGCUUGUCCAAACAACCACAAGAAGAAACAAAAUCAUGAAAGCAAGAUAUGUCCAUGACAUGGUUAUCUAUAUUACAUUGUUGUAACUUUCUGUCUAUUUGCCAUUUAUAUGAAUUAGUUACAUACACAGUUUAUGUCCUUUAGAUGGACCAGUAGUUAUAUAUUGUAACAUUUCUGUAUCUAUUUCAUUUGUAAUGUCAAUAAAUGAAUGACUCAAUAA